ACAUUUCUUUAAGGUAUAAUUUAAAGUAGGUUCUGCCCUAUGAAAAAUUUAAAUGGCUGCAGUAUCUUGACUGUGCAAAGGUAGCAUAAUAAUUAGUUUCUUAAUUAGGGACUUGUAUGAAUGAAUUAAUGAGAAAUUUAUUUUAUUAUUAUUAUUAUUAUAAUUUAACUUUUGAGUUAAAAUGCUCAAUUGAAUUAUUGGGACGAUAAGACCCUGUAGAACUUAUAAUUAAUAAAUAUUUACAGGUAAUUUAGUUUUUAUUAUUAAAAUAUUUAUUUAUUUUUUACUGGGGUGGUAAAUAAAUUUUAACUUUAUUUUUUAAAUUCAUUAAUUUAUGUAUAUUUGAUCCAUAUUGACAAUAAGAUGAAGUUACCUCAGGGAUAACAGCGUAAUUUUAAUGGAAAGUUCAUAUUUAUAUUAAAGUUUGCGACCUCGAUGUUGAAUUAAGAUAAAAUUAAGGGGUAGGUUCUUUAAUAUUAGGUCUGUUCGACCUUUACAUUCUUACAUGAUCUG
rnacentral:rRNA from 1 species